AGAGAGGUAUAGCUGUAAGGGAGGAUGACAGAGAGGUAUGGCUGUAAGGGAGGAUGACAGAGAGGUAUGGCUGUAAGGGAGGAUGACAGAGAGGUAUGGCUGUAAGGGAGGAUGACAGAGAGGUAUGGCUGUAAGGGAGGAUGACAGAGAGGUAUGGCUGUAAGGGUGGAUGACAGAGAGGUAUGGCAGUAAGGGUGGAUGACAGAGAGGUAUGGCUGUAAGGGAGGAUGACAGAGAGGUAUGGCUGUAAGGGAGGAUGACAGAGAGGUAUGGCUGUAAGGGAGGAUGACAGAGAGGUAUGGCAGUAAGGGAGGAUGACAGAGAGGUAUGGCAGUAAGGGAGGAUGACA